GUCGGCCGUCGGUGGCGGGGGAAGGAGUAGCGAGGCCGGAGCUGCAGGAGGCACACGCGUCGCGGGGUGGAGGAGAAGCCAGCGACGGGAAAGGGCUGAGCUCCAGGCGGCGCUCCCGUUGCGAUGGGGUAGAUCUGCAGAGGCAGGGGAUGAGGCCCGCGACAGGGGGGAGGAGCUGGCCGGAGCCAGCGAGGAAGACGGCUCGUCCCGGCGGCCGACGUCCCACUCGCCACAUCUUCCUUCCUCUGCUUCGGAAUGGAACAGACCAGUCCAGCAUCGCCUCAGCCUCCUCCGCCGGCACGCACGACCUCGCCUCCUACGAAGCAGAGAGGCGUGGUGGCAGCGGGCAACCAACGGCGGUGGACGAGGGGAGCUCGGACGCGUGCCCUGCAUCCGGCUGCCUCCCCUCUUCCUCGUCACCGGCCGCCUCAACAUCUCGCUCUCGCCCUCCUCCGUGGAACCGCGUCCGGGCUGCUGAGGUCGACGACGAGUACCCCGAGAAGUUCCUCAAGGAUGCUUAGAGCUGCAUCAACGCUGUCGAGGAACACCCUGAGCUGGAGGAAUGGCACAGGAUCCAAUCCUUAGACCUUCAUCCACUUGGUCUGGGCAAUCACUGACAGUCUGCAGUUCGCCAAUUUGCAUUAUAAUAGAAACAAUUCAGUCCUCAUCUAUGCUUGAAGUGCAGGGUGGCAAAGUUAGGAGGCGAAAUGAUUGGGACGAAUGGUUGAUUCCUCUAGAGAGUAACGUUUGUAUUCCGUCAAGCUCUGCAGCUGUGCCAGGUCCCAUUGUCAAUAAUCUGACAGCACACCUUGGAGGUGUGGUUCUGAUAUUGUUAGUAAGGCCGCACAUGAUUUGGUGUACAAUUACUCUUCCAAGGCUAUACUAAUAGAUAAUCCUGGUCAUUCUCUAAUUUUUCCUAUCGUGGAUCACCCACUACAAAGUGACGGUAAUGGGGAUAUUUGUCGGAACCGAAAAAAGUUGUAGUGCUUCAUCCUGGCUACGAAGAUAGAAUGGGCUGAAAAGGCAUUGGUUGCAGAUGAAGGAAAAUAAAGAAUCGUUGAUUUAUUCCUAUGGUCGGUAGCGCUAUAUACACCGGAUUGGGCCAAGACCUGGAUUGUAGAAUUGCUUGCUUCAGUUGAGGCUUCUGACUGUCCUUUGCGGUUCACAAAUAGAUUGUAGGAUGUUUUGAUUGAUCUGUGAGAUGUGCUACCCUGAAAUGCUGUUCACAAAUAGAUUGACUGUCCUUCAGUUGAGGCUUCUGACUGUCCUUUGGUGGUUUUUCACAUUUGUUCAGGCUGAGUUCAAUUUGUUUUUGUGCCAGAAACGGAACAGGUAGUGCUCUAACCUCAGCAGCAUAUGGUCUAAAUUUCAUACUUAGGGUCAUUCAAAUAUCUGGAAUAUUAGUCCUGAGUCAAGGUAAUUUUCCUCAUCCCCUUAAUGUAUCAUGGAAAUUUACGUCCACCUUUGUGCUUGCUUGUUAAAAAUUGCUCAUUUGGUUCUUUGUUCAGAUUUAUGAUCAUUACGAUUUACUACUUCACCAUAGAUUUACAACAACAAUAUUUGUUUUGUUCUAGAUCAACUGUUACGGGAAUACAUUAUUCCCGAAGUUCUUUUAGCUGUAUUGGUCAUAGCACUGUUUUUUUUUCUGCUUUUGUAGUUGAAGGGUUAGUUACACUCUGAUUUUGUAGCAUUUUUUCCAUGUGAGAGAGAUUGUAUAUUGUUGUCAUCCUGAAACAAUGCUGGAGCUCUAAAGAAAAAGCUAGCAGUACUCCAUGGUUAUAGGUUGUACAAAUAGUAUGGUAAUGUUGCAUUCACUGUAGGAUGACCAUGAUGCACCAAAUUUGAGAAACUCGUGAGGUGAAUUAAUUGGUGCUUAACCUAAUUUCGCUUGGCCGCCCAGCAACUUCGUUUCUGUGUAAAUGGUGCAUCUGUAUAUGAAAUGGUUAUGCGUUUUGAUAUUUGUCAUCUAAUUUUUUUGAAGAGUUGCGAUAGAUUCUAAGCAGUUGCAGUUCAUGAUUUUCCUCUUUAAUAUCCAUGUCAUUCAGUCAAGAUAGUGCGCAAAGUUUCUGGUUGUUUUUAUUUCUCCAGGCAGUGAAAACAUGUUGAUUUCUUGACCACAUCAAGUGAUACAUGUUAUGUUAAGUGUUUAAAUAUUUUUUUGCUCAUGUUUCUCCCGGACCAGCACAAUGGAAUGAACUUUACAACAUUUAGUUAGCAUAUUAUAUAUUUUCUGAGGGAAAAUGGCAGGCGCUCUGCCUUUGUUAUAGAUUAUGAAUGUACAAGAGAAAACACAAUGGAGAAAGAGAGGGAGGAAGCAAAGGAAAACGAAGAAGCAGUCACCCCAGGCGCUGCCUGUACACGGAUGUUCAGCUAAGGUUCUACUACAUUCAGCCGGAUGAGCUGCAGAUCAUUGACAACACCACCACCAACAGAGACUGGGCAUGAGGCCGUGUUUGUGAAGAUACUGUUCCUUUCGUUCCAGAUGUGCCAAGCAAAAUAUGCCCCUGUAACAGCCGUGUGCUUUGGCCCUCCAGCAAGGUGCGGCCGCCACUUGCCAAUGGAGUUGAAGGAUGUGAUGUUUACUUGUUGGAUAGCUGGAUUUGAAGCGCCAAGUUUGAACCACAUUUCAGCGGUGAAAGGGCAUUGACAGAAGAGGUGAGCUGCAGAUUCGAUAUCUGAUCGCAUAGGGCGCAUUUGUCGUCAUGUUGGCUGCCCCGGUCGCGAAUUCUGUCUGCAGUUGGAAGCCUGUUUUGGGCUAGCAGCCAAGUAGAGAAACGAACUUUUCCUUCCAUUUUCAGCCUCCAGAUGGCAUUCAGAUGGGGCUUGUGCAUGGCUCCAAUAAGAGCCAGACGCCGUCCAAUUCCAAGAUAUGGAGUCAGGGGUGUGGUCAAGCUGGAUGUGCUGGGGCUUGCUCCAAAGAUCCACGAAGGAAUCGAUCUCGUCAGAAGAGUUGAUACGCUGAAGGCCCUUCAUCCAUCUGUCAUCCGAGAGGGCAGCUGCAACCGUCAGGUUCUUCCUUCUUGCCAGAUUGAAAAGCUUUGGAGCAAGGUCUAUCAGAGCAGAGCCAAAAAGGCGUAAGCUUUCCAUCGCCCAGCGAAACAGUGGUGGAUGCACGAAACAAGCUCAAAUCACCCGCAGAGCAGGCCAGUGGGAAGCAAGUCCAUGGUCGGGAUGGGUUCUUCCAGGCAGUCCAAGGUCAUCAUAGGUGAAGAGCUGUACUGUAGGCGUCCAGAUUCUUGAUGCCAAGACCACCCAUUCGCUUUGGGGUGUAUACCUGUUUCCAGUUGACGGCACAGUGCCCUCCUUUAGCAUCUUCAUCUCCUCUCCACAGAAAACUGUGGCAAAUCUUGUCGAUGCGCUUGAUGAUCCACUUAGAAGGUGCAAAAAGAGUGAGGUAGUAAGUGGUUAUGGAAGUUAGAACAAAGUUGAUUUGCGUCAAUCUGCCAGCCUUGUUCAAAAGUUUCCCCUUCCAUCCAGCAAAGCUUGGCGGCUAUCUUGUCAAUGAGGAGUUGAAAGUCAAUUCUUCUUAGUUUUCUGAUGUUGAGUGGUACACCUAGAUAUCUGCAAGGGAACGAGCUGACCUCCCCCUGAAACGCAGAGAGCACCUCUUGAAUGAUGUUAUCAUCACAGCAGACAUGGUACGCGGAGGAUUUGCUGAAAUCGGUCUGCAGCGCGGAGAUGUGACCGAAGGACCCCCGGCCUCUGCAUCUGGGCGAUGCAUACGGCCACUUUAUUAAUUAUUCUCACAAGACCUUACAAAGUCAUACAACAGUAAGACUAAAGCCACCGUCUAAGCAACAACUGUCGCUACUCCUCUCCAAUUGAUGAAGGGGCGCUGAUAGUCUGGGCCUAAUACCAAACAGACAUCGCAGCCAAACCUAAACAUCUAAGACCUGAGGUCCCAACCAGGACGCCUGCCUGGUAUGGAGCACCUACCAGUCCGGCGCACUCCUCAACCAGGACGCCUGCCGGGUAUGAGGCCGCCGCAGCCACCUGCCACCAAUCCAUCUUCAGUGAUGUACUGCUGCACCACCUUGUCCGGCCUCUCUGCUAUCGACGCCACCACGACGCAUGAUAACGUCACCCUCCUGCGCCGGAACGAAGCCACCGAGCCCCAUCGAGGGCGGCCAACGGGGGCGGAGAAGCUAGAUCCGGCCAAGCCCGGCCAGGAUCCGACCUCUCCCCGCGCUGAAGCCGAGGUUGCGCCCGCAGGGCCAGAUCCGAGCCGGAUCCGCGCCUGCGCCAGCCCCGAUCCGCCGCCACGCCAUGGUCUUGCACCGUGCAGCCACCACGGCCUGGACGCCUGCCCACACCGCAUGGCCGAGAGCCCCGCCGCCGCCACGCCCCGCACCAGCGUCACGCCCCCGCCGCGCCGCCGCAUCUCGCGCUGCCGCCACACACCGGGAGGGGAAGAGAACCCUGCCGCCGCCGACGCCCACGGGCUUCGCCCGGUGGCGCCCUCCGGCGGCGGCAGGGGAAGGGAGGUUGGAGGAGGCGGCCGCGGAGUUGAGGCUAGGGUUCGCCCGACGCCGUUUGCGAGAGCAACGCGGGGCAGUUACUGGUCUUUGCUGAUGUUAAGAAUGGCCAACUGAUUGAACUUGUUCACAGCAUUAGCAGUAAUCUUGAUAAACUUGGCAUUCCUGACCUUCUAUUUUUGACGUUCUGUUCUGUUGACCUAUUUGCAGGUUUUUACAGAGGAAUUAGUCCAGGUGCUACUGGUUCACUUGCUACAGGUGCAACAUAUCUUGAGUCAACUAAGACAUGGAUGGAGAACGCUAAUCCUAAUCUAAGAGGUCAUUGGUCUCACUUUAUUGCUGCAGGAAUUGGCAUUGCAAUCAUUUGCCUCUGAUCUUCCUAUUUGCUUGUUCCGCGGGACAAAACUUGGGAACAAUGGGUUGCCAAGUGAGACAAAUCCAAGAGAGCGAGGAAGAACUGAAAGGAGAAGAAGUGCAUGGGUCUGCUUUUAGUCGAGACAGGCGAAAUCAAAGUGCAUUGGCGUUAUUGUUUUUGUAUCAUAUUAUGCAUGUAUUUUGCAAAUUGCUUGACAGCAAAAACGGAAGAAUUGUGUAAUAGUCAAGCAGGCCGUCCAGGAAUGUAUGGCUUGAUAAAUGAUAACUUUGUUCUGUUUUUACUUGCAUGUUACUUACUCGAAAC
rnacentral:rRNA from 1 species